CUGAGAACCUAUAGAGGAAGGUCUUGUACCCUUGGAGAUGACUCGCCAUGUAUCAAUGAUCUCAAUUACUUUGUCACCUAAUGAUCUAAACCGGAACUCUCCUGGGUAUCAAGCACCAAUAUUUUUAGAACAGCCAAAGAAACAGUACAAAGUGCAGCA